rnacentral:misc_RNA from 1 species
CUGGAUUCCAUGAAAAAGAGAGGAUUAACAACUAAAGUGUUUGUUUACAAUAUUUUGAUUAUUGGGCUAUGCAAGGACAAGAGGAUAGGAGAUGUAGUCAUGUAGAGAAGCUGUUUGGUGAAAUGAGUAGGAGGAAUUUGGUGCGGAGUACCGUGACUUAUAAUACGCUUAUUGAUAGAUCUGGGAGGUGGACGCAGCAUUUAAAAUGAGAGAGAGG